rnacentral:rRNA from 1 species
CGAACGGGUGAGUAAUGCGUGACCAACCUGCCCCAUGCUCCAGAAUAGCUCUUGGAAACGGGUGGUAAUGCUGGAUGCUCCAACUUGACGCAUGUCUUGUUGGGAAAGUGUUUAGUGGCAUGGGAUGGGGUCGCGUCCUAUCAGCUUAUAGGCGGGGUAAUGGCCCACCUAGGCUUCGACGGGUAGCCGGCCUGAGAGGGCGGACGGCCACAUUGGGACUGAGAUACGGCCCAGACUCCUACGGGAGGCAGCAGNG